UACGGAGGAGGCAAGCGUUAUCCGGGCUUAUGGGGCGUAAAGCGUUCGUAGGUGGUUGGCCAAGUCUGCUGUCAAAGGGUGGGGCUUAACCUCAUAAAGGCAGUGGAAACUGGCGAGCUAGAGUGCGGUAGGGGUAGUGGGAAUUCCCGGUGUAGCGGUGAAAUGCGUAGAGAUGGGGAAGAACAUCGGUGGCGAAAGCCACCUGCUGGGCCUGCACUGACACUGAGGGACGAAAGCUAGGGGAGCGAAUAGG
rnacentral:rRNA from 1 species